rnacentral:rRNA from 1 species
GAUGAACGCUAGCGGCAGGCUUAAUACAUGCAAGUCGUGGGGCAGCAGGUUUGUAGCAAUACAGAUGCUGGCGACCGGCAAACGGGUGCGGAACACGUACAGAACCUUCCUUUGAGCGGGGAAUAGCCCAGAGAAAUUUGGAUUAAUACCCCAUAGUAUAAUGAAGUGGCAUCACUUUAUUAUUAAAGAUUUAUCACUCGAAGAUGGCUGUGCGGCUGAUUAGGUAGUUGGCGGGGUAAAGGCCCACCAAGCCUGCGAUCAGUAACUGGUGUGAGAGCACGACCAGUCACACGGGCACUGAGACACGGGCCCGACUCCUACGGGAGGCAGCAGUAAGGAAUAUUGGUCAAUGGAGGCAACUCUGAACCAGCCAUGCCGCGUGGAGGAUGAAGGUCCUCUGGAUUGUAAACUUC